rnacentral:lncRNA from 1 species
AUGUCUCCCCAGCCCGCUACGCCUGUGCUUUCCCCGUGCUCUCCUGUCUCUCUCUCCUCCGGUCUGCACCUCUGUACUUCCUGUUUUACUUUGACAGUCUCCCGUCAGUGUCGCGUCUCUCCUGCCAUGUCUUGUUACAAUUAUCUGUGUCAGCUGUGUUCCCCGUGUGUCCCCACUUCCCUCGUUAACCCUCUGUGUAUUUAUGUGCAUGUCUCUCUCAGUUCAGUGUCGCUUCGUCAAUGUCUCCUCCCGAACCUGUGUGCCUCCCUGUGUUCCCUCGGUCCUCAGCUUAGUUCUCCCAGUUUAGUUUUGUUACUUUGUCAGUCCUGCAUUAAAGCAGCAUUUUUGAGUUCCACUUCAGUCUCUGUGAGUUUUGCAUUUGGGUCCUCAUCUGCCUCCACACAGCGUGUCCAUGACAGUACGAAGCGACCAGUAAUGGACCCAGCAAACUCCCUACGGAAUCGGCAGCGUGCAGACUCCGCCUUCCCUAGCGAGAGGAGAAGGCAGGAGGCUCGGCAUGCGCGGGAGCGCGAGUCUGCCUUUUAUGGGACUCGUUUGGCUCUAGGUGGGCCGCGCAGCCUCCAAACUGCAAACAGCACUGCCUUUCCUCCACCUCGUUCCCCGGUGAUAAGAGUUGGAGGAUUCAGCUUAUCGCCUGCCACAAUUCCUCCGACCUCCUCAACCUCCAGUCCACCUCCCCAAUCACCGCCCACGUCCCGCGCAAGGAAGGGGGUUACCCAGCGGCCGAAGAGAGAUUUCGUGCCUCCAACAAGCAGCCUAUCUCCGCUACAGUCCUUUGCGCUCUUCCUGGGACUUCCACGCUCGGAGCUGCACAAGCUCCCUGUCUCUUCGACGCAGCUCGGCCCGUCAUCGGCUCAGUCAGCCGACGUCUCAGAGGUGCCUGCGUCUACAGCCCCUGGAUCUCACGGCACAGUUCCCAGGAAAAAACGACGCUCACGCCGUCGCCACCCUAAAGUUACUGAGCAAACUCCGGUGGUGAGUGAAUCUGACUGUUCCUUCCAUGCCACUUCCGAGCCGGACCGACUCGGACAAUAUUCUAUUCCUGAGCCCGCAGUUUUCCAUGUCUGUAACUCAGAGAGGAAUAGUAAGUUUGUACAUGACUGUGUUUCCAAGCCUCAUAAUGUGUCUAAGUCCACCUCUGCACCUAUUAAGCAUGAGACUGAGUUCAUUGUCCCCCUAGAGACUGCUUUUCAGGCUGAAUUAAAUAAUUCUGACACUAUAGACUCUGUGCGUGUCAUCCCAGAGGCCGUUAAUUCAGUGUCUGGUAAAUCUGGGUCAGUUAAUCCAGAGCCUGCAUUACCUACCCUCACGCCCAUGUUUGAGAAUGACUGUUUUUCCUUUGCUCCUCCCAGGUCAGCAGUAAUUAACACACAGACUGAUACUCACACCGUCGAUAAGCAAAAGACUGUUUUUGAGGUGCAUACCUGUGAACUAAAUAUUAAAACAAACAGUCCUGAGAUUCCUCUUCCUGCUGAAACCGGAGAGGACCCCCUGGUGAAUGAACUGUGUGUCUUCCAGCCUUCAAGGGUUGCGCUUUCUGUUCUUCAGGUUGCUUUUGACCCUCUGUCACAUGUAGCUUUACCUACCAUGUCUGUUAGCUCUGAAACUGUAUCUCCAGGGGUAAACAAUGGUGCUCCUCUCGAGUUAACUAUAGCUGCGGCGAGGUCUGUCAACUCCGGUUUUGCAAAUACUAAGACUGUGCAUUCAAUUACUGUUGUUGAGGUUAAGGGCAACAAGUUACCGUCCGUCAUGUGUAAACUGCUAAGGGAGCCCGAGUUGCCUAUUCCUGAGUUAGUUUCGCACCCAGUUGCUUCAGACACCACCUGUGUUAACUCCCCUACUCCUGUACCUGCUGAACAUGAGACUGUGAAUGGUGUUUCUUCACUCCUGGACUGUGUUGCUCACCAGCCUGCAUACGUAGAAACAGGCUAUGUGAAUGCUCCUAUUUCCAUAACGGCUCCUUCUGAGCCAAGGAUUACAGACUCUAACUUUGCUAAGCCUGGAUCCUUCUGUAGAAUGACUGUUUUAAAGACUGCUACUUCUAACAUGGACAGAUUAAGAACAGCAGAGUUGCUAAAAUUGGCCUGCCAUAAGUCUCUGUUUUCUGAACCUGUGUUUGGCGCCAUUAACUUGGUUUUCCCAGUGUCUGUUACUGUUCCUGUGCUUCGCUCUCCACCUCCAGUUCCUAUAUCCAGGGCAGCUCGGGCCCAGCUUCCCCUUGCACCCGUAUCAGUUCCUCGGGUGAGGGUGGCUGAGGUCCAGCUGGUCCCUGCUUCUGUCUCCAGCCUGGCAGAGGCUCCAUUCAUCCCGGCACCCGUACCUGCUCCUCGGGUGGGGUUGAUGGACACCCAGCCAUUGCCAGCACCUGUUCCGGCUCCCCGGGUGAGGUCAGCUGUGACCCUGCCGACUCCUGCACCCGUCUCAGUUCCUCGGGUGGGAGCAGCAGAGGUCCAGCUAGGUCAUGCACCUACGCCGGCUCCCAGGGUUAAGGCUGCAAGAGCCCAGUUCGUCCCUGCACCCGUAUCUGUUCCUUGGGUGGGGAUGGCUGGUGUUCGGCCAGGGCCUGCACCCGUUCCUGUUCCCCGGAGGAGAGCAGCCAAGACUCAGACACCUGCUCAGUCACAAGUUCAACUACCUGCUGUUUCACCAUCAUUACAACUCGCACUUUUGUCCAUAGCGCAGUCAUUAGCUCAGUUAGUAGCACAGUUUCCUGUUCUGUCACCAGCUCAGUCUAUAGCACAGUCAUCACCUCCAUUAUCUGUCAUCCAUUUUGUUACCAUCUCAGUUCCUUGCUCCAUUGCCUGUUCAGUUAUCAACUCAGUCAUUAACUCUACCACCAGCUCAGUUAUCAGCUCAGCCACCUGCUCAGUCACUGCCAUCCUCUGCUGA